UACGGAGGGAGCUAGCGUUGUUCGGAUAUACUGGGCGUAAAGCGCACGUAGGCGGCGCAGCAAGUCAGGGGUGAAAUCCCGGAGCUCAACUCCGGAACUGCCUUUGAAACUGCAGUGCUAGAAUCCUGGAGAGGCGAGUGGAAUUCCGAGUGGUAGAGGGUGAAAUUCGUAGAUAUUCGGAAGAACACCAGUGGCGAAGGCGACUCGCUGGACAGGUAUUGACGCUGAGGUGCGAAAAGCGUGGGGAGCAAACAGGG
rnacentral:rRNA from 1 species